AAUAAUACUAAUAAAUAGUAUAAAAAAGCAUAAUAAUAUAUAUUUAUUAACAUUAUCAACUAAAGCACACUCAUUUUAUAUUCAUUUAAAUAGUUUAGGUGAAUAAUGGUUCCUUUGUUGACUAAGAACAUACAAAAUGGUUGCUAAAUCACUAACCUUUGUUGCAGCUGCCAAAGUUGUUCACUCUCUUGUUGAGGCUGAAGAACCAGGUCCAGAGGAACUUGCUCCAGUAAUUGAAGACCACAGUCACUUUAUAGAGGAGAAAGAAUCAGUUCAGGAGAAACUCAUUCCAGUUGAUGCAGAAGAAGCAACAUCUCCUGAGGAAUUAUCCGCUGAAGAAGACAUUCCAGUUGUUGAAAUACAACCAGAACCAGUUUUCAUCAGAGAUCAGGUCUCUGAUGACACAGAUGAAGCUGUAUCUAAGGAAACAGCCAUUCAGGAGCCUUUGGCUGCAGCUCCACAAGAAUCUUCAGAGGAAGAAACUGUCCCUGUAGAAGCUGCCUUUGCAGAGGCAUCUCCAGAUGAAACUUCAGAAGAAGUUGCCCCAGCUGUUGCUCUAGAGAGUGAGUCUUCAGAACAGCACCAUGUGGAGGAUCCAGCUCCAGAUGUACCGAUCCCCAUUAUUCCUUUAGAAGCUUCAGAAGAUGAAGCUUCAGAGGAAAAUGCAGCAGAGGAAGCUGCUCCAGAAGAACCUUUACUUAUAGUCCCCGAUGACAAUACUGACGUAGAAGAACCUCUUCCAGUGACACCAGAAGAAGAGGAAAAUGUUGUCCUCGUCCCUGCAGAACUUGAGAUAGAGGAGGUAGGUCAAGAGGAACCUGCUCUAGAGGAAACAGCUCCAGAGGAGUCAGUCCCAGAAGAUCCAGUUGCCAUUGUUCCUUUGGACCCUGUUGAAGAGGAGCCAGAGCUGGAAGAACAAGUUAAAGAAGAAUCAAUCCCCAUAGUUUCCCCAGAAGCACCAGAUGAAGAGCCUCCAGGGGAAGAGGAAUCAGUUGUCCUUGUCCAUGCAGAACUUGACCCAGAAGAGGAAGGUCAAGUGGGAGUGGAUGUAGAAGAAACAGCACCAGAAGAGUCAGCCCCAGAAGAACCUGCUAUUAUUGUUCCAGUGGAGCCCGCUGAACAGGAGCCCGAUCAAGAGCAACAAGAGGAAACAGUCCCUAUCAUUUCUUCAGGAACAAAAGAAGAGGAAGCUCCAGAGGAGCAAGCAAAUGAAGAAGCAGUUGCCCCAGUAGUCCCAGAAGAAAAUGCUGAAGUGGACCCUGCUGCAGAGGAAACGGCACCAGAGGACUCAGCCCCAGAAGAUCCAGUUGUAAUUGUUCCUUUGGACUCUGUUGAAGAGGAGCCAGAGCUGGAAGAGCAAGUUAAAGAAGACGCAAUCCCCAUAGUUUCCCCAGAAGCACCAAAUGAAGAGCCUCCAGAAGAAAAGGAAUCUGUUGUCCUCGUCCAUGCAGAACUUGACCCAGAAGAGGAAGGUCAAGUGGGAGUGGCUGUAGAAGAAACAGUACCAGAAGAGGAUGGUCAAGUGGGAGUGGCUAUAGAAGAAACAGUAGCAGAAGAGGAGGGUCAAGUGGGAGUGGAUGUAGAAGAAACAGCACCAGAAGAACCUGCUAUUAUUGUUCCUGUGGAGCCCGCUGAACAGGAGCCUGAUCAAGAGGAACAAGUGGCAACAGUCCCUAUUAUUUCUUCAGGAACAAAAGAAGAGGAAGCUCCAGAGGAGCAAGCAAAAGAAGAAACAGUUGCCCCAGUAGUCCCACAAGAAAAUGCUGAAGUGGACCCUGCUUCUAAUGAAGAACCUCUCCCAAGUCCAUUUGACGAAGAGGAAUCUGUUGCCCUUCCUAUAGAGCCUGAAGUUCAAGUGGACCCUGCUGUAGAGGAAGAAGCACCACAAGAGACAGCCCCAGAAGACCCAGUUGUCAUUGUUCCUUUGGACCCUGUUGAAGAGGAGCCAGAGCAGGAAGAACAAGUUAAAGAAGAAUCAAUCCCCAUAGUUUCCCCAGAAGCAACAGAUGAAGAGCCUCCAGAAGAAUAUACAGAAGUAGAAGCUGCAGGGGUGCCUGUCCCAAUAGUCCCAGAAGAAAAUACAGAAGAGGACCCCGCUAACAAAGAACUUAUUCCUAGUACACCAGAAGAAGAGGAAUCGGUUGUCCUUGACCAUGCAGAACUUGAACCAGAAGAAGAAGGUCAAGAGGAAGCAGCUGUAGCAGAAACAGCACCAGAAGAGCCUGUUGUUAUUGUUGUUGUGGAACCUACUAGUGACGAACCAGCUCCAGAAGACCCUGUUGUCAUCAUUGUAGAAGAGGAUGCUCCAGAGGAUAACACAGAAGAAGAAGUUGUCCAAUCAGAUCCUCUACCAAAGGGAACAGUCACAGCUCCUGCCCCAGCUGUCACUGAUGUAGAACCUGAAAUCAUUCCCACUCCUGUGGAAGGUGGUAAUGGCACCAGCAGUGAAGAUUUCAAUGCUGCAAUUAAACUGAUAGAAGAAGAACCUGUAGCUCUGAUAAACAGGGGGACAGUACUGGGUGCAGCAUUCUUCACACUGAUGUCUUUUAUCAUUGGUGGAUUUAUUUGGAUGACUGUAUCCAAGAAAUUGCACUGAAUGUAAGUGAGUACAACAAUGUCACCAAAUCUAAUUUGUUUUAAUCCACAAUUAUCAAAUGGUUUAGUAUUCAAAUAUGUCUAUAAUGUCUAUAUUUCUCCUAUUUUAGGACACUGAAGUAAAGAUCAGCUGUCAGAAGAUCAGAUCAGUUGUUUGAUGAAAUAUGGAGCAACUGAAGCAUAACAGGUUUCUCUGCAUUGAAUAUUUGCUGAGGAAAAGACAACUGAAGGAAAUUCUGCAGUUUCUUCAAGGUUGAAGGACAGAAAGUCACUAUGUUAAUGUAAACCAGAGGUGGAAUAGGUAUUAAGAUCUCUCCCUGAUGAAGGCAUGAAUAUAAGUAGCACUUUCCUGUUGGUUGAGGAGGAGGUAAUAUUACCUACUUUAUAUACUUUUGGGUAGAUUAAAGGUGUCCUGUUGAGUUUUCUUGUAAACAAACAAAUAAUUUUAAUAAAUUUGUUAACAUUCAUAAGACAUUGUUUGUACCCUUGAGGUUUAACAAACCCAUUGAGUGAAUUUCAUCCUCAAAAAACAAAGAUUUUAUGAAUAUUUUAAAUUCCAAUGUUUACAUGCUAGCAGUCACCUUCUUUGUCUUCUUUGCGUGUUACCACCACCUUCUGUCAGGAAUGUGUAUUGCGUUGUCAAUGUCCUAAUGAACAAACCAAACACUAGUAAAAGCAUUGCUCCAUGGUGCUACUAGUGGUCAAAAGCUCCACAGGGUACCUGUAACCUAUGCAUAUCUAUAUGUUACAGGCUGAUCAUAAGCUUUGUGUGUAAAAUAAGGGUGUCAAAUAAAUGCAGUGGAGAAAUUAAUACAACAUUAUGCUCCAGUAUUGUAGCGUAAAAUAAAUGCUCAAAGUAUAAGUACCUCCACAUUGCACUUAAGUACAUUUUCCACCUCUGUUCUUAAAACUACGUCUUGACAUAUUUAAAGGUGUGGAAUGAAGUAGAUUAUUAGCUACUUGAGAGGAUGAUAACAUGCAAGUAUAAAUGGUAUAGAAGUGCUUUAUGAAAAAUGUGAGCAUGUGACCAACUUUACUAAAGGGGGAGUCAUGCUCUAUAAGACUUGAUUUGUUGGUGUAUUUGACAGUAAGCAUUUAUGAAUGAUGAGUCUUUAUGUUUUGAUUUUGAAAUGUAUGUAUGAUGAAAACUUUAAUGCACUGGUAACUUUACUUGUAGUUUUUUGAUUGUGGAACAUUAAAGUAAUGCAG
ensembl:lncRNA